rnacentral:tmRNA from 1 species
GGGGCUGAUUCUGGAUUCGACGGGAUUUGCGAAACCCAAGGUGCAUGCCGAGGGGCGGUUGGCCUCGUAAAAAGCCGCAAAAAAUAGUCGCAAACGACGAAAACUACGCUUUAGCAGCUUAAUAACCUGCUUAGAGCCCUCUCUCCCUAGCCUCCGCUCUUAGGACGGGGAUCAAGAGAGGUCAAACCCAAAAGAGAUCGCGUGGAAGCCCUGCCUGGGGUUGAAGCGUUAAAACUUAAUCAGGCUAGUUUGUUAGUGGCGUGUCCGUCCGCAGCUGGCAAGCGAAUAUAAAGACUGACUAAGCAUGUAGUACCGAG